rnacentral:rRNA from 1 species
AGAGUGAACGCUGGCGGUAGGCCUAACACAUGCAAGUCGAACGGCAGCACAGUAGGAGCUUGCUCUUACGGGUGGCGAGUGGCGGACGGGUGAGGAAUACAUCGGAAUCUACCUUUUGGUGGGGGAUAACGUAGGGAAACUUACGCUAAUACCGCAUACGCCCUUCGGGGGAAAGCCGGGGACCAGCAAUGGCCUGGCGCUGAUAGAUGAGCCGAUGUCGGAUUAGCUAGUUGGUGAGGUAAUGGCUCACCAAGGCGACGAUCCGUAGCUGGUCUGAGAGGAUGAUCAGCCACACUGGAACUGAGACACGUCAGACUCUACGGGAGCAG